rnacentral:rRNA from 1 species
UACAGAGGGUGCGAGCGUUGUCCGGAAUCACUGGGCGUAAAGGGCGCGUAGGCGGCUUGAUAAGCGUGCGGUGAAAGCCCUGGGCUCAACCUGGGAAUUGCAUUGGAUACUGGCAGGCUAGAGUGCGGUAGAGGAUGGCGGAAUUCCCGGUGUAGCAGUGAAAUGCGUAGAGAUCGGGAGGAACAUCUGUGGCGAAGGCGGCCAUCUGGACCAGCACUGACACUGAGGCACGAAAGCGUGGGGAGCAAACAGG